rfam:Vibrio azureus NBRC 104587 DNA, contig: VAZ01S070.
UCAUCACCACCAUCACCCAAUCUAGUCUUUCGGGAGAUGUACGCAUACCCGGGAGGCAGGAUACUCCCGGAGAUGAAAUUAAAAGUUAGAUAAAUUUCAACCCUCGGGAGGCCAAUACCUCCCGAGGGUUUUUUAAU